rnacentral:RNase_P_RNA from 1 species
GAAGCAAGCCAGACCGCCGCUGGUGCGAUCGUGGAAACACGGCACUGGAGGAAGGUCCGGACUGCACAGGGCAGCGCAGGAGCUAACGGCUCUCCACCGCGAGGUGAGGAUCAGAGCAACAGAGACGAGUCUGCGUGGGCAAGGACCGCACGGAGUGUUCUACGAGGUGCCGGCAACGCCGGCAGCCGCUCCCGAAAGGGAGCGGCCCCUGGCUUCAGCCAGGGGCCGAGUAGCACCCUGAGUGGGCUGCGCCCACUCAGGGUGAAACGGGCAAUCUCUGCGCGCAGCAACACCAAGUAGGCCGGCGUUGACGUGACCCGCGGAGCCGGCGGGUAGGUGGCAUCGAGCCGGGUGGGCGACCCCCGGCCCAGAGGAAUGGCGGUCACGCCGUUGGGGCUGCAAAGCCGCAGCGGUGCACAGAAUCCGGCCUAUCGGCUUGCUUCACAC